UGCUGUGUGGCUAGUGGGACAGGUGAUAGCCUGAAGAGCACUUGGUCCUUAUCAAGACCAGGAAAAGUUCACUUGUGCUGUAGAAUCUCGGGGUGCAGAAAGUUCCUAGCAGAAGUUCUUGUGUUAGGGAGCUAUUUGUGAUUCCUACUGCACGCAGUGCUUACUGGUUCUACAAAUCCGAGAUCAGACUUGAAUCCCAGUCUCCUGCAUUUCCAUAGGAACAGCUGUAACUUCACAGUGAUUGCACACCGGAAGCAGGUUGCACAGCUGACAUCCGAAACAAAAUUAAGAGUCAUACGAAGAUAGGACAUUGCCACAGCUCUGGCGUAAUUAGGACUCAUCAUAAUCCAAUACAGGAAAUUGGCACAUCUGCUUUUCAGGCUGUUGAUCCAACUGUGUUGCUGAAUGUGCGCACUGGCAACGGGAGUUCUGAUGCAUCUUGCUGUGUUCUGCAAAGCUGUCUUUGCAUAAAUAUUUACAUAAUUUCCUCCAAACAUCGGUGGAAGCAGUUGUUUUUAACACUUUUCCUCCCAUGUGUAAUGCUCGUUUUUUCUUCCCCGAUCCUGAGAAAGAAGUGUUGACUUUGUUACAGUGUGUCUCAUUCUGAAUCAGGUUAAAUAAACAGUGGUAAAUUUUUAACCAAUAUAAUUGAAAGUAGAGCAAAGGUUCACAUCUGGCUUUUUGAUAGCAAUAACAUGGGUCUGAUCCUCCUUCUGUUGAGGUCAAUGCCUAAACCACCAAUGAAUUCAGUGGAUGCAAAAUCAGGGAGUGCUUUGUAUUUGAGCCCACCUCUGUUUCCUCUCUCAGAUCCCUCUUCCUUGAUUUCAGGAAUGCAUUGCCUUUUUUAUGAAGUAGCUUAUUCCUCUGGCUAUGGAGAGUUAAUAUCUAUUGUUCAAGGUUGGCAUAACCAACUGUCUGCUGGGGAAGUCAGAAAUAGUCAUCACAACAAUAUUGUCACAAUUAAAAAAUAUUUUUUUUACAGCUGGAUUGUCCCUUCACAAUCUGCUCUGGAUCAUGAGUGGUCCCAAGAGCAGCAAACCAGGGAGAGAGUUGAUAUUCUCAGAGUCACAGUUCUUUCUCUCGUUCUCUCAAUGGGCACAGGUCAGAAGCAAGUUACUUCCUGCUCUGUGCUAGCCAGCACCGGCGUCGGCACCUUGGCAAUUUCCAUCUCACCUGUGCAGAGUGGAGAGUAGCAGCCCCAUUGAAGUGGCUUUCCCCCUGUGCUGUGAGUCAUGACCU